rnacentral:rRNA from 1 species
GACGAGCGCUAACGGUACCCCUUACUUAUGCAAGUCGAACGGAGACUUAGAGUGCUUGCACUUUGGGUCUUAGUAGCAAACGGGUGAGUAACACGUAAGAAUAUGCCUCCUAAACUGGGAUAACUACGGGAAACUGUAGCUAAUACCGGAUAAUCCAGUAGAAAGGGAUUUCUAUUGGCAAAGGUUUACACCGAUAGGAGAUUAGCUUGCGGCGCAGUUGUUGUUGGUAGGGUAAUGGCCUACCAAGCUAUAUUGCGUAGCUGGUCUGAGAGGACGGUCAGCCACACUGGGACUGAGAUACGGCCCAG